rnacentral:lncRNA from 12 species
AAACUCCCCCCCCCCCCCCCCCCCCCCCCCCCCCCCCCCCCCCCCCCCCCCCCCCCCCCCCCCCCCCCCCCCCCCCCCUGGGGAAAAAAAAAAAAAAAAAUUUCUGGGGGUGUUUUGUGGGUUUGAGAGGCCCCAGAGCUGCCCUGACCAUGCAGAGCCCCAGGAAGCGGCGGCCCUGCGGAUGUUCCGUGGGUUUUAUUUUGGGGGCCUGUGACAUCCGGGCUGAGAGAGGAGAAGAGAAAAUUCAGAAAGUUGAGAGGAGAGGGGGGCAGGGGGUGAAAAUCCCUGGGAUUGGGAUGGGGGAUGGGGGCAGAACCGGUCUGGGAUGGUGGGGAGGGAGUGGGAAAUUUGGGAUGGGGAACAGAGUCAAAACCAGCUUGGGAUAAUGGGGAAAUAAUGGAAUUUUUGGGAUGGGGAUGGGGAACAGAGACAAGAACCAGGCUUGGAUAAUGGGGAGAGAGCGGAAAUUUGCAAUGUGGUUGAGGAAUAGACACAGGAUCCUGUCUGGAAUAAUGGGGUGAGAAUGGAAUUUUUGGGAUGGGGAAUCGACACUUGACCAGUCUGGGAUAAUGGGGAGAACAUGGAAAUUUUGGGAUGAGGAUGGAGAACAGAUACAGAGAAACUUUGGGAUAAUGGGGAGAAAAUUGAAAUUUUGGGAUUUGGACGAGGAACAGACACUCAAACAAUUUGGCAUAAUAGGGAAAGAGUGGAAAUUUUAGGAUGGGGACGGGGAAUGGACACAGAACCACUCUGGGAUCAUGGGGAGAGAAUGGAAAUUUUGGGAUGGGGAUGGAGAAUGGACUCUCAACCAGUCUGAGAUAAUGGGGUGAGGGUGGAAAUUUUGGGAUGGGGAUGGGGAACGGCCCCUGUGAGCAGGAGUGGCCUCGGUGGCCGCGGGGUCUCCCCUGGGGUGACAAUCCAGGGAUCCCCGGUUCAGAACUCCAGGAAUGCCGAGACCGGGCUGUGACCGCCGGGGGAUCGCUGUGCCUGGAGCCGGAGGAACCCCCGUGGGAGUGGAAGAAGAUCCACUGGAGAGCAGAAAUGGAUUUGGGAUCGCGGUGGCGGAUCCUGAUGGCCACGAGGGAUGGGCAUGUCUCGUACCCCAAAGGUCCUUUCCACGGCAGAGCCGAGUUCCAGCCGGGGGUUCUCUCCCUGUGCAUCUCCCCGGUGCACAAAGCCGACAGCAGGGUCUACACGGCCGAAUUUGAGAAUUCCUCCGGGAGUUUCCCCAUUUCCCCUCAGUGCUUCCGAGUGUCCGUGUGGGAUCCCAUCCCAGAGCCAUCCCUGGAAUCCCAAAUCCUGCAGCGGGACCGGGGUUGGUGCCGCCUGUCCCUGCUCUGCUCCAGCCCCGGGAACGGGAACGUCUCCAUCAGUUGGGAAUGUCCUGAGGAGCCCCCGGAAUCCCCGAAAAUCCCGAAAUCCACAGGAUCCCCAAACUCCACGGGAUCCCCAAAAUCCCCAUCCCAGCGGCUCCAGUGGAUCCCCGAAGAUGCCGAACCCCAAAUUUGUCUCUGCAACCUCAGCAACGCCGCGGGCUGGAAAGCGGCCCCGGCCCCGCUCACCUGCGCAGGAAUUCCAGGGAAUUUCGGGCUCUGGGCAGCGCUGGGCGGGGCCGCGGGGCUGAGCCUGAUCCUGAUCCUGAUCCUCGGGGUCUGCUGGAGGAGGAGGAGGAAGGAGAAUUCCCGGGAAGGUUUGUGGGGAAUGUCGGAGAGGGAGGGAUUUUUGGGGGCUGUGACCCCAAAAUCUGGGAAUCUAAACUCAAAAUUUGAGAAUUUUGGGCCCAAAAUCAGGGAAUUUUGAACCUUGG